UAAGCGGUAAACAAAAAUAUGCUAACAAAACCAUCUUUGAUUUGACUUCAUAUAGUAUUUGUACAGUCACACGUGACCUAUCUGUUAAAACAAAACACACCUUUAUUUUAUACAUAAAGUAUAAAGUGACAUUCUGCUUAUUUUUGUCAUUGUUAAGUUGAGAUGAAUUGACUAUAUAUUUCAGAAGAUUUACUGUUAUAAUGGAGAUUGACCAACAGUUGAUACUGGAAAAUGUUUUGUAUAAAAUAUAAAUCUGCCUAAAAUGUAAAAAGAAAGUCCCAUUCUUUUUUAUAAAUUGACAGAUAAAUUCUGAUGAAUAUAAAUGUCACACAAGUUAUAUAUCAUUCAUGCGAAGUAAAUCAUAAUAUUAAAAAGAAUUACAGCAUAAUGUAAACUUAUUUUGACUUUCACCUGUUCACUCACUAGAUACCAUAAGAUGGGCAUAAUACCACUUUAAAGAGAAUAACAAUGUUUCAGGCAUAAGUUCAGAGACUUGACAACAAUCUACGCAAUUGGGCUAUUUAAAUCCAUCUCUCGUUCUCAAAAGCAGUCUUUCGUUCCGAAUAUGGCAAUCAACCUUAUGGCUACAUUUAUAACAUCCUUGCGCCUAGGUGAAGUGAAUAACUACUAGUAAUCGUAAUAAUUUGUUGGUGUUUCAGUGAUUAAGACGACAUCCUUGCGGUCACAUGGUUGCCUUUCAAGCGGGAAAACCUCACAUAACCAUUCGUGCAAUUUUUCAGGGAUGAGCGGGCACCUGAGAAAAACCUUCGGCCUUCCUUUGUCGAGCACGUGAUCCAAUCUAAUUAUAUUCGAAUCCACGGAAAAGAAGAAAAUGUUAUUUAGACUCAACAACCUUAACCACUUGGCCAUGCAAGCCAUGUAAAGUGAAACAAUGUAAUGUUAAUACCUUGCCAAAGGAAAUUAGUAUAGGAUAUGAACCAGACUUCUCCGUCUCGGAGCUCCUACCACUGAACCACUGCCAACUAUUGCAACAAAUAAGAAUGACUUUUUCAGUAAUCAUCCGAACACUGUAGAAGACCAUCCCUUGUGGUCAAAUUAUCUUUUGUCCUCAAAGAUAAUAUAACUAUCUGCGAAAAACCAAUCCUAUGUUUUUAGCAAUUUGUAUAAUAAUAAUAAGUUGUAAACAAUAAAUUUAGUACGCGGAAGUAGUUAGAACGUAGCUUAAUUCCGAUUCGUCCAGGUCAGAGCACGAUCGCCGUUAUAUUUAAAUAUGAAACGAUUCAACCGAAAUAAUAAUUCAACCGAAAAUUAAUGUUAAGUGCAGUACCUUUAAAAUAGCACGCUGUAUAGAUGAUAAAAUACAUAUUCAUGCUAUUUACCGACUAACAUUCUCUUUACCACACUCGUUUCAUACAGAUAGACGUGCAUGCUACUUCUACUUUGAGUAUACAUCUGCGUUGAAUACAACCUAGAAUAAAAUGGAUUUUACACAAUUAUUUCGUGAAAUUUGGAGAACGUUAUUUCUAGUAAUAAUAUCUUUUUCCUUCGCACUUUGCUUAUGUACAAGUAUUGGUUGGGUUGGAUGCGUGGAUCAUGGUUGCAGUGACAUGGAAGGUGGGAAAUGUGAAAACUAUGGGACAAGACCUCGUAACCUUUGUGUGUGUGUUAUACAGUCUUGAUGCGAGUGGAAAAUAGGAUUUAUUUUUCAUUUAAUUUAUUUCAUUUUUUGUGCCAAUUGUUUCCGAGGUAAAAGACCAAAAA